UACGUAGGGAGCAAGCGUUGUCCGGAAUCAUUGGGCGUAAAGCGCGCGUAGGCGGCCUCAUAAGUCCGUUGUGAAAGUCAAAGGCUCAACCUUUGAAAGCCGAUGGAUACUGUGGGGCUAGAGUCCGGAAGAGGCGAGUGGAAUUCCUGGUGUAGCGGUGGAAUGCGCAGAUAUCAGGAGGAACACCAAUAGCGAAGGCAGCUCGCUGGGACGGUACUGACGCUAAGGCGCGAAAGCGUGGGGAGCAAACAGG
rnacentral:rRNA from 1 species